rnacentral:miRNA from 1 species
CUGGCCCUCUCUGCCCUGUUUA